rnacentral:rRNA from 1 species
AUUGAACGCUGGCGGCAGGCUUAACACAUGCAAGUCGAGCGGAGCGUCGGCCGGGUGCGGAUUAGCUAGGAAUCGGCCUGGUACUGGGGGAGAAGGUUCGCUAAUGGGAGCUAAUACCGCAUACUAUCACAUUCGCCUAGGGCGGAUUAGCUAGUUGGUGGGGUAAAGGCAUACCCAGGCGACGAUCCGUAACGGGUCUGAGAGGAGGAGCAGUCACACUGGAACUGAGACACGGUCCAGACUCCGACGGGAGGCAGCAGGGGGGAAUAUUGGACAAUGGGCGAAAGCCUGAUGCAGCCAUGCCGCGGGUGUGAAGAAGGUCUUCGGAUUGUAAAGCACUUUAAGUUGGGAGGCGUUACCAACAGAAUAAGCACCGGCUAACUUCGUGCCAGCAGCCGCGGUAAUUC